AACCCAUGGUGAAGGCAUCUUUUACACAAAUCCUUGUAUCUCUCCCAAGCUUCAUAUAGUGAUUCUGAAUCAAAUCGCACAAAAGAUAUGAUGUCAUUCUGUAUCU
rnacentral:snoRNA from 1 species